rnacentral:rRNA from 1 species
AGCAGCCGCGGUAAUUCCAGCUCCAAUAGCGUAUAUUAAAGUUGUUGCAGUUAAAAAGCUCGUAGUUGAAUUUCGGGGUCAAUAAGUUGGUCAUGCCAAUGGUAUGCACUGGCUUUAUUGAUUCCUACCUCUUGACGAACUGUGAUGCCAUUAAUUUGGUGUUGCAGGGAAUCAGGACUGUUACCUUGAAAAAAUUAGAGUGUUUAAAGCAAGCUUACGCUUGAAUACAUUAGCAUGGAAUAAUGAAAUAGGACGUUUGAUCCUAUUUUGUUGGUUUCUAGGAUCGACGUAAUGAUUAAUAGGGAUAGUUGGGGGCAUUAGUAUUCAAUUGUCAGAGGUGAAAUUCUUGGAUUUAUUGAAGACUAACUACUGCGAAAGCAUUUGCCAAGGAUGUUUUCAUUAAUCAAGAACGAAAGUUAGGGGAUCGAAGACGAUCAGAUACCGUCGUAGUCUUAACCAUAAACUAUGCCGACUAGGGAUCGGAUGAUGUUAAUUUUUAAUGACUCAUUC